rnacentral:lncRNA from 1 species
AUUGUAGGCAAGAGAAGCUGAACAAUAAACGGCAUUUUCUUGCUGAGGUAUAAAAAGCAGUGAGUUGCGGAAAAUGAUUUUUUUUAAAAGAUGAAAGUGUAGCCCAUCAUUAAGAUCAAAUCUAUGAGAGGAGAAGCUCUGCAAAGCAGUGUUGCUACAGUACACUACUCCAGAUGUAAUCCCACACAGACUUCCCUGGCUAUGAUUCCGACUUAUUCAGUAAUUACAAGCAACAAAGAAAACAGGCGCCUGGCAUAAAAACCAACACCAGAGUCCUGAAGAGUGAUCUGAGUUUACAAAACAAACAGGAGUCUGAGUGUGCUGAGGGAUCUACACUCAAACAAUUGGGACCCUCAGGUGGUUGCACAAUUUGGAGGCUCAUUAUGUCCUCUCUCAGUCCAGGAGUUUCCACCCACACUUGUGUUUUGAAGGCAACAAGGCAGGGGAUGACAAGGAAAAGGGGAAGCAAAAAUAAUCCCCCUGAACAUCAUUUUUUUGGGGAAUGAAAACCUGACAUUCUGCAGAAGGCACCAUCCUCCAGCAAAACUGCAGCAGUGAGGUCGCCAAGAUAAGAGAACCCCCCAAAGCAAGCAAGCAACUAAAUAAAUAAGUACAUGGAGAAAGGAAGUUUUUGUUU